AGUAUUGAUUCAAACCGUGAAGUGAAAUUGUGGACAGGUUUGCCCGAAUCAGUGUAACCUCAGUGAAUUCAUUUACUUCAUAGACUUCAAACAUUUUCGAAAUUAACAAAAGUCAAGCGGACAUUGAAUACAUAGAUAAGAUGCAUUAGAUAAGAUAAAAGCUGCCUGUGAAACCAAAACUAAUAAAUCAUAUUGUUACUUAA